rnacentral:rRNA from 1 species
GAUCUGCGGUGGGUACGGGCAGACUAGAGUGAUGUAGGGGAGACUGGAAUUCCUGGUGUAGCGGUGAAAUGCGCAGAUAUCAGGAGGAACACCGAUGGCGAAGGCAGGUCUCUGGGCAUUAACUGACGCUGAGGAGCGAAAGCAUGGGGAGCGAACAGGAUUAGAUACCCUGGUAGUCCAUGCCGUAAACGUUGGGCACUAGGUGUGGGGGACAUUCCACGUUUUCCGCGCCGUAGCUAACGCAUUAAGUGCCCCGCCUGGGGAGUACGGCCGCAAGGCUAAAACUCAAAGGAAUUGACGGGGGCCCGCACAAGCGGCGGAGCAUGCGGAUUAAUUCGAUGCAACGCGAAGAACCUUACCAAGGCUUGACAUGGGCCGGAUCGCCGCAGAAAUGUGGUUUCCCCUUUGGGGCCGGUUCACAGGUGGUGCAUGGUUGUCGUCAGCUCGUGUCGUGAGAUGUUGGGUUAAGUCCCGCAACGAGCGCAACCCUCGUUCUAUGUUGCCAGCGCGUGAUGGCGGGGACUCAUAGGAGACUGCCGGGGUCAACUCGGAGGAAGGUGGGGACGACGUCAAAUCAUCAUGCCCCUUAUGUCUUGGGCUUCACGCAUGCUACAAUGGCCGGUACAAAGGGUUGCGAUACUGCGAGGUGGAGCUAAUCCCAAAAAGC